CCGAGACAUAACCCUUCUUUCCUUUUAUUGCCCUUCUCACUUGCGAACGCUUUCUUCCUUCAACCUCACACCCCAUUCCUUCUGGCCUUCCACAUCGAUCCUCUUUCAACAAUUGUUUAUUCUGGUUUGACCUAAUUUACAGUUCUGACGAUCACUCCCGUAAAACUCUGCUCCAGAGAUGAUAUCUUGGAUUGAGAAAUUACCAGUUCGUAAAACAGAAAGAAGGAUUGAGAAAAGAUCAGGGUCUCUGUGGGGAUUUGAUCGUAAGAAGUGAAGAGAUUGGAGAAGAGAGGGCCUGAUUGUGAAAAAGGAGGCAUAUUUCUGAAUAAUUGAGAAAAAAAAUAUGUGAUUCUUCUUGAAGAAUUGAAAUGGGGUUUGGUGAUGAUGCUGAUGAAAUAGGAUUGUUGGGGACGGGUUUGAUUUUGUAAAGGUGUUUUGGGGGAUGAAGGAGCUCUAGAAGGGAUUCAUUCUGCUGUAACCCUUCUGCUUGUAAUCAGAUUGGGAGAAAGACAAAAAAGAUAGAAACAUCAUUAGAGGAGAUGGGGAUUAUUGCAUCUUCUUAACUGAGAAAGCAAAAAAAAGACUAAACUACCAUUAUUAUUUUCAGAUUACUCCAACAUCGUCAUCAUAGAGAACUCCUUGUUAUGGAUAAAUUCAGUUGUCGUGUUAUCUUUUUGGUUUUUAAAUCCACCCAACAAAAGGUGUUAAUGCAGCAGUUUUGGUUUUAAAAAAAUAAAGUUUAAUUAAAUUUAAAAGUAGACUAGACAUGGUUGAUAUGUUUUUGGAGGAAAGUAUAACAAAAGAAGUAUUAAAAUAAUAGAGCAUUACAUUCGUAAAAACUAUAAAGGCAUGGUGAUAGUGGUAUAGCUAAGAAAUAGGUACAUAUAAAAUGGUUUGUUUGAUUAUUAAAUACAAAACAUCACGGUAAUUUUAAG